rnacentral:rRNA from 1 species
UACGAAGGGGGCUAGCGUUGUUCGGAAUUACUGGGCGUAAAGCGCACGCAGGCGGCUCGAUAAAUUAGAAGUGAAAGCCCCGGGCUUAACCUGGGAAUUGCUUUUAAGACUGUCGGGCUAGAGUCCAGAAGAGGGUAGUGGAAUUCCGAGUGUAGAGGUGAAAUUCGUAGAUAUUCGGAAGAACACCAGUGGCGAAGGCGACUACCUGGUCUGGCAUUGACGCUCAUGUGCGAAAGCGUGGGGAGCAAACAGG